UUAAUAAAUUCAUGGUGAUUUUUCGGCUUUAUUUGAAUAUUUUAAAAUCACCAUGAUUUUAACUCGAACAACCCCUUAAGCACGGGAGGGAAUAAUUCGUAGUGUGCUUGGAAAGGAAGUAGCGAGGGUCAGCCGUGUAGCUGACACAUCGAACGUAUUCCAACAACGAAAGUAUUCCAACAACGGCGGAAGCCGUCUAAUUCGAAUGCAAAGUUUUUACGGUGUUUUACAUUCCGUACGGGCGGGGAAAAUUCCGAGAAAAGUGGUAAGAAAAAGCGACAGAACAUUUGCAACUGAAAAAUACAUCGCGAUCCACCUGCGGCGACCGCAAGGCGCCAGUAGUAUGGGCACGCGAUGGUACGGCAGAAUGACGUCAUGGCCCAUGCCGAAUAUCGCCGAAGAGACACGAAGUUGCGCGAAAUGUACCGCCUCGUUCUCGAGCGCCGCUCAGUCUAUCGUCGACCACCGGUGAGGUUGUGACGUUUUCGUCGCAGUGUUUUUUUUUUCGUACAUCGCAUCGGGCUAACUAUUCUCCAACUCUCUCUGUCUAUCUUUCCCUCUUUUAGUGCCUCGUUUCUCACCCCUUCCUCCCCUCCCCCUCCCCCUCUUUGCGUUCUACACAUAUGAAAUAUCCCCGCCUCGAUGAGUCGUUCGCGUGAAAAUCGAACGGUAGUUCGUCGAUUGAUCGCUGCUCCGGCGUUCCGGUGCCGGUGAAAAACGGAACGUUUCCCCGUAAAUCGUAAAACGAACUGGUACGGUAAAACGGGCCGUCGCGUCGUCGAAAUUUCGAAAUCGAGAUCCGCUUGCGGUGCAACGACGAAAUCUCCCCGGCCGAAUUAGAAGAAGGAGAGUAUUGAUUGCACGCUUCUAAAUGAAUAACAAUCCCAGCGCGGUGGAGGUCGAGCUCGUGCCGCGACUACCGUUGCACGCUGAUCUUCGUGGCAGCUGACUAAAGAAGUCUUUCUUCGAAACGAUAAAAGCGAACAUCCUCGAUGAAUCGACGCUCUUUGAAAGUACGGAGAACAGAGACUCCUUUCUUCUAUAUAUAUAUAAAAUUAUGAUUCUAUAUAUAUAUCUCGAAAGAUACGUCGAGACUCUCUCUCAGCGGCGGUGAAAUGGCCCGUUUUUCGUGUGGCUUCGUUUCCAUAUUUUCGACCGAUUGAAACGAGCCCGGCCGACGUUCAAAGAGCCAAUUAACGACGCGCACGGGAGAAAUUACUAUGCUCGUUGGAGGCUGUAAUUAACGGUUACCGGUUGCGUCCAAUGAAACCGGGAAUUAGCAUUGCGCAAUCUGUGCGACACGUGCGAUGACGUUUCAUACGCAUAUUCCGAGGCUCGCCGUUUAUUAGAGUUCGAUGGCUGGCCGCGGAUAAAUAAUGGCGGAUGGGAGUGGCGGACGUUGGGAAAUUUAAUAUUCCGAACCGAGAGCGAGAAGACCGAGCCGUGACAGGCCGUGUCGUCUUAAAAUAUGGUCGAGCUCACUGGAGGAGGAGGAGGAGGAGAGAGAGAGAGAGAGAGAGGGAUCAGAGGGAUAAGUGUCAUUCAGGGUCAGCCACCCGGUCCCCGGGAUAAAGGAUCGAGUUUCUGGCUGUCAAAAGGGAUCGCGAAACCCUCGAAUAAUCUAUCCGUCCCUUUGCUCCCGCAUCUUGAUACUCGGUGAAUUAAUAACCUAUUGCCUCUCGAUAAGAGAUCAUCCCUCGAAACGUGAAAAAUUCAACGUCCAUACCUUUCGAAUAUUCUCCCAUCGGACGGUUUGUUACCACGGCGAGACGCGUGGUAAUGGAUCAUGGGAGAGAAGGGGGAAGAAGGAGAGAGAAAGUAGAAGAAAAUAUUAAAUUGGUAUUUCAGCGAGAAGUGCAUCAACGUCACGUUUUAAAGAUCGAAGACCACUUUUCUCGAGCUAUAUGAUGGAUAACCGUGAUCCGUAUGAAAUCGUAUGAACGGUAUCGAAGGCCGCUGCGCUUGCAGUUGCAAGGAAAUAUCGCGAUAUGUCGUCGUUGCGGGAAGAAAAUUCAUCGAUUCGAAAUAAAUCAUCGGAAGAGAUGGUUUACAACGAGUUUUCCACGUUUGUGUUCUCCAACCAGGCUGAUAGAUUAUCGGAAAAUCGAAUUGAAUUGACAAUAAUCUCGAAAAUAAAUACGAAUACUUUUCAAAGAUUGUUAAUAAUAAAAACUGUAAAGAAAAUUAUAAAUCCGUGCCAAUGUAAAAAUAUUGACGUUUCUUCGAGAAAUCUCGUAAAAUGGAAUCGGCAAGUAACUCGUCGAUCUACGUUCGAUUAUCGCCCUCCGUUUCGAAGAAAAUUGGAAUCCGUGUGGCGAGCCGGGAUUAAAAGUUGACCGAUCCGAGCUCGAAGGAGGCGACCAAGACUGGGCCGAACGAUGCUGGAGGAGAGGCGAGGAGAGCGUUAGCCGGCAAACCGCUCGGCUAAUCCCCUAAUUACUUCGACAUGGUUAGCGACCCUGUACUAACCACGUCGGUGCCUGGCUCCGUUCCCCGAUCGUUAAUUAAAAUGGCAUUUCCUUGCAGCCGCGGUAAUUUCCAGCCAACGCGCCGCGCAUAAGUCACGACGGUCAAUCGAGCUCGUCUCCGAACCGUUCUCGAUCCUUGCAAAAUUUAUCGCCCCCAAGAUUAAUUUCGUUCAUUCGACGUUUAGAGAGAGAAGGAGUGUGUACUUUUUUUCUUUUAAAAAUAUCGAUUCUUCCAAAUGGACGGUAAAUUUAAUUACUUAAACUGCGAUAAUCGUUUCCGUCGGUAAGUUGUGGACCAAUAUAUUUUUCUGGAAGCGCAAUUUUGGAAAACAUGGUUUCAAACGUCGCGAUCUCUCAAUCUCUAAGCUAGAAAAUGGCGAGCACUAAGUGGAAUCGAAUUUCCUCGGGGCGAGAAAACGGAGUAAGAGUAAGAUGGGGAUUGCAGUGUAGCAGUUUUAGGGAAACGAGGUCGAUUUCCAAGGAUUUCUCGCAACGCAAAAUUUCGUUACGCUUUUUCGCGGGGAAAUUGAAUUCCCUGGCUACGCGGUAAACUGUGUUUUCCGAAACAUUUAUACGAGAAAUAUACCCGAUUCAAUUUAUCCGC